UACGUAGGGGGCAAGCGUUGUCCGGAUUUAUUGGGCGUAAAGAGCGUGUAGGCGGCCUGACAGGUCUGCUGUGAAAACUCGAGGCUCAACCUCGAGAUGUCGGCGGAAACCGUCUGGCUAGAGUCCGGAAGAGGAGAGUGGAAUUCCUGGUGUAGCGGUGAAAUGCGCAGAUAUCAGGAAGAACACCUAUGGCGAAGGCGGGUCUCUGGGCCGAUACUGACGCUGGAGGAGCGGAAAGCAUGGGUAGCGAACAGG
rnacentral:rRNA from 1 species